CUCACCGAUAAAAUUCCAAUAAUCGCACAGACGUCAUCACAACAGCGGAUGACCCAGGGAUGUCAAAGAGCCGGAGCUCCCCCGGUUACCUGCCGGGUGCCAGGCAGGGACAAACCUGAUGCAGGAUGGAUGAAGUGUCCAACCAUCUUGUGGGAAUACACAAAUAAUGAUGUGUCCUCCAUCUCUCCGCUAUCUCUCAUUUUCUUACACUGAGGACAUUCUGACUUCCAGAGACUUCUGUGGUUCGUCCUCCAUCUGUUAUUCUUAUAAUCUCUACAGAGCUGUUGGAGAGUGAAGCAGCACAGAGCUGACCUUAUAAAGACUCCUCCUGAGAAGACCACACCUCUGUCCCCAAGUCCAUGGAAGCCAAGGCCAAGUCUGGGGCUCCAGCGCCCAAGGCAGCAUCUAAAGUAGAGAAGAAGGAGCCCGCAGCCCCACGCAAGGCUGACCCUGCACCUGCAGCUCCUGAGCCUGAGCAUCCUCCCUCCGAGGAUGGAGCAGCAGAAGUGGAAGCUGCAGCGGCAGGUGACGAGGCUGCGGCCUCUGGUACAGACUCUCUGGAACACCUGAAACCCUUUUUCAUUGGUGGUGUUGUUAUUGCUGCAGGAGCCAUCUUGCUGGGAGUGUUGCUACUGGCGAGGAGAAAUUAGAGCGUCAUUGCUGAUUGGUUCACAGACUACCAUGGUACAGAUGGGGGAUGGGGAGCCACUGUGCAAAUUACAUUGUUUUGGUUUUUUUGGCCUGCUUUCACUUGUAGUAAAUCAAACCAUUCAAGUUUUGAUCAAAGUUGUAUAUGGAUCAUAAUUACACAUAGCAUAUGCAUGAAGUUGCUUCAAAACUGCAUCUGAACUGUAAUAAUCUGUUUCUUAAAAAAAAUAACCUCACACUGUAGUACCGAGUUUAAAAGCCAAAACUCUCUAAAGGUAUCUUAUUCAACUGCUUUAUCUUGUUUAAGCUAGUUUGCACAAAUAUUGACAUAAUCUUGCAAUAUUUGUACAUUCUUGCACCAGAAAUGAGCUGGUUCACUUUGCUACAAGAUCAUGAAAAACUAUAUUCAUAAUGUUGAAGCUUAUAGAUAUUAAUAAUGGCUCUCAGAAUUGUCCUAGGUUGUAUUUUACUUUUCAAAAGGACAGAGAGAAAGAGCAGACCUGAAAACACCUGGGAAUAUGCAUCGUGAUGUAUUUCACACUUUGGCUAAAUCAGUGCCUAAUUGAAAGGAUUAAGUUUCUCUUUCUUCAGAGUACUGGGAGAGAGACACUGUGUCCCUGCAUAUCCAAAAAAUGUCAAAUAGAGAACGGAACAGUGCAAUUUAAAGAAUCGACUUUUUCAGAGAUAGGAAAUAUAAGUAUGUAGUGGUUUAGGAAGGGGAUGUAUAUGAUUGUUGGAGAUAAAACAAAUACAUUAUGAGGCAAAGAAGAGUAGUGAUGUUACUUCUUGCUGUAAAAUAAGAGAGUUUUAUUUUACUGUCAAAUGAUGUCAGAAAUCAAUAACCUUUCAUGUCUUACACAGUAGCCACAGUCGUGCUGGUUCAACCUGUUUACAUCUUACAGUAGAUACUUAGCCAUUAGUCAUUAGUGUUGCAGUAUCAUGUUUAAAACCUGCUGCUAAAACAUGGUAGUUGUUUCUGUUUUCACUGUGCUCCCCGUACGUGGCUAUAGGGAAAAAAAAAAAAAUCAUGUUUUCAAAACCUCAUUAAUAACAAAGUACAACUAUAACGUAAUGAGAGCAUCUUAGGUUGCUAAUACAAUGAAAGUGAAGUGCAGACGAACUACUGUUGUAUAGUUUACUCAAAUGAAAAAAAAUUGUCAAGCAGUCACAAUUUUGUUGCUGCAUACACUCGCCUGUACAGCUGUACACAACAUUGUCCACUCACAUGUAAAGCUCAUGGGGAUGUCCCUGUUGCAUAAGUAGAUAGCAACGAAACAGUUCUGUCACACACACCAUUACUUGAUUUUAGUUGUAAGGGUAUGUAUGAACACAUUACUGACCACAUAUAUUGUACGAACAUACCACAUUCGCCACAGUCAACACCCCAGACACAUCCAAAAGAUAGUAUGCCAACACAAAAACAAACUUCACCUUACAUUGUACAAUACAGUGUACCAAAAAAAAUAAAAAUCCUAUUUUCAUAAAUUCAACAGCGUAUAAAUGCAAUAAUUCAGAUAGGACUAAUUAUUUAGCACAUGUGCUGUAGCAAGUUAAAUUACAUAAAUGAUGAUGUAAUAAUAUUGUUGGUGAUUAUGAUGUAUGAUGGUAGUGCUGGCAAUGACGGUGACGUUACAGAUGAUGAUGAUGGUAAUGAUGAUGUUUUUCAUGGUGACUGUAAUGAUGAUAAUGAUGGUUAUGCUAUAUUUUUGAUAUAUUUCUAACAUACCUUCCUUAUGCACACUCCCCUCUGCCCCCAACCUCCUAAAUGUAAAAAAGGAAAGAGGUUGUAAUCUAACCUUUAUUAAAGGCAGUGAACCAGCCAAAGUGAGUAUUUCUUUGAUAACAAGUGCACUCUUUAUUCAAAGUUACUCAGAAUUAGUGAUCAUAAUUGCAGAUAGAGCUUCCGCUCUAUGCAUUAACUAGAGGUGAAAUUACUCUCAGUUAAGUUAAACUGAUCACUCAUUUGAGCUUGGGUAAUUAAUUUACAGUGUCAGACAAUAUAGUAAUAAGGAUACAUGUCUUAAUCCUUAGGCUAUCUUACUAAAUCUUCGUUUAAUUUUUUGUAUUCUGUGAUUUAUGUAUGCUAUUCAUUCCAAUCUACAUUUCCAAUUUUGAAAUACAGAGCAAUGUUAUAUUGC